GACGAACGCUGGCGGCGUGCUUAACACAUGCAAGUCGAACGGAAAGGCCCUGCUUUUGUGGGGUGCUCGAGUGGCGAACGGGUGAGUAACACGUGAGUAACCUGCCCUUGACUUUGGGAUAACUUCAGGAAACUGGGGCUAAUACCGGAUAGGAGCUCCUGCUGCAUGGUGGGGGUUGGAAAGUUUCGGCGGUUGGGGAUGGACUCGCGGCUUAUCAGCUUGUUGGUGGGGUAGUGGCUUACCAAGGCUUUGACGGGUAGCCGGCCUGAGAGGGUGACCGGCCACAUUGGGACUGAGAUAGGGCCCAGACUCCUACGGGAGGCAGCAGUGGGGACUAUUGCACAAUGGGCGGAAGCCGGAUGCAGCAACGCCGCGUGCGGGAUGACGGCCUUCGGGUUGUAAACCGCUUUCGCCUGUGACGAAGCGUGAGUGACGGUAAUGGGGAAAGAAGCACCGGCUAACUACGU
rnacentral:rRNA from 1 species